rnacentral:rRNA from 1 species
AUGAACGCUGGCGGCGUGCCUAAUACAUGCAAGUCGCGCGAACAGACGAGGAGCUUGCUCCUCUGACGUUAGCGGCGGACGGGUGAGUAACACGUGGAUAACCUACCUAUAAGACUGGGAUAACUUCGGGAAACCGGAGCUAAUACCGGAUAAUAUAUUGAACCGCAUGGUUCAAUAGUGAAAGACGGUUUUGCUGUCACUUAUAUAUGGAUCCGCGCCGCAUUAGCUAGUUGGUAAGGUAACGGCUUACCAAGGCAACGAUGCGUAGCCGACCUGAGAGGGUGAUCGGCCACACUGGAACUGAGACACGGUCCAGACUCCUACGGGAGGCAGCAGUAGGGAAUCUUCCGCAAUGGGCGAAAGCCUGACGGAGCAACGCCGCGUGAGUGAUGAAGGUCUUCGGAUCGUAAAACUCUGUUAUUAGGGAAGAACAAAUGUGUAAGUAACUAUGCACGUCUUGACGGUACCUAAUCAGAAAGCCACGGCUAACUACGUG